CUGGGGCUGUCUGGCUGGUCAUCAACCUAGGCUCAGGUGCCUUCGAGGCCCUUGUGGAACCCGUCAAUGGCAAGUUCAACGACAACGCCUGGCACGACGUCCGGGUCACCCGAAACCUGCGCCAGGAUGAGAAGAAAACAAAAACAAAAACAAAAACAGAGGAGCUGCCCCUCUCCUCAGUGACUCCCUGGAUCGAUUUGCGUGUUCUCCAUCCCCA
rnacentral:lncRNA from 1 species